AGCACGGGAGUAGCAAUACUUGGUGGCGACCGGCGCGACGGGUGAGUAACGCGUAUGCAACCUACCUAUCAGAGGGGAAUAACCCGGCGAAAGUCGGACUAAUACCGCAUAAAACAGGGGCACCGCAUGGUGAUAUUUGUUAAAGAAAUUCGCUGAUAGAUGGGCAUGCGUUCCAUUAGGUAGUUGGUGAGGUAACGGCUCACCAAGCCGACGAUGGAUAGGGGAACUGAGAGGUUGGUCCCCCACACUGGUACUGAGACACGGACCAGACUCCUACGGGAGGCAGCAGUGAGGAAUAUUGGUCAAUGGGCGGGGGGCCUGAACCAGCCAAGUCGCGUUGAAGGAAGAAGGAUCUAUGGUUCGUAAACUUCUUUUGCAGGGGAAUAAAGUGCAGGACGUGUCCUGUUUUGUAUGUACCCUGAGAAUAAGGAUCGGCUAACUCCGUGCCAGCCGCCGC
rnacentral:rRNA from 1 species